AUAUCGCUGCGGGAGUAAAAAUACGAUAGUGAUAAGCAAGGCAUCGACUUACGAUAAGGUUUUGGAGUACACUUCAAAAAAGCCGGGGAGCAACACGUGCAACUUUUAAUGGGAAUGCGAGAAUAGCCGGGAUGAAUGAAUCGACUGAAAAUUUCACGGAAGACUCAAACUCUACAAGGGUAAAAGCUAUUUUCAUGCAGAAAGGAAGCGGUGAACAUUAAUACGCAGGAAAUGAUUACUAUCCGAGUUUCCGGAUCGUCUAAUUCUCAAAUAAAUACAGAUUCUAGUUUCCAUAUAAACGAAUCAACUGAACCAAAGGAAUUCCUCUAUCAGAAAAUUCCAUCGCAUUCCAGGAUUGAACGGAACACGUCCUUUGAAGGGAAACGAAUAGUUUUCAGUCUAAAAUUUAACGGACCAGAAAUUGCUGAAUCAGUUUUCUUGUUUUCUCGCUGCAGAAAUACUCACGUAGAAAAACGGGAUGCAGGGAUGGAUAGAAUUAACUUUUUCCCAGACUGCUUGUCGAACAACACGUGUCAGCUGAUUGCGAUUAUUUUGUCACAGCGCACAACGUACUGUUUAAAUUACGUACGUCUAAACUAGUUAUUUAACAGGGUCACUGCACUAUAGUAUAAUAUAUUAUUCGCGUAGUGUCGAAACAGUUUAUUAGAAUAUUCUAGCUACUGUCUGCUCGGUUGUAAAUUUG